rnacentral:tRNA from 1 species
CCAAAAGAUAAGCUAAGCAAGCUAAUGGGCUCAUACCUCAUUUAUGAGACUAAAUCUCUCUCUUUUU